rnacentral:rRNA from 1 species
GUCUACGGCCAUGCCACCGUGAACACGCCCAAUCCCGUGUGAUCUCGGAAGUUAAGCCGGGUCAGGUCUGGUUAGUACUUGGGAGACCACGUAUGA